rnacentral:rRNA from 1 species
GAUGAACGCUGGCGGCGUGCCUAAUACAUGCAAGUCGAGCGAGCAGACGAGAGUGCUUGCACUCUCUGACGUUAGCGGCGGACGGGUGAGUAACACGUGGGUAACCUACCUAUAAGACUGGGAUAACUUCGGGAAACCGGAGCUAAUACCGGAUAAUAUUUAGCUUCGCAUGAAGCAAUAGUGAAAGACGGUUCUGCUGUCACUUAUAGAUGGACCCGCGGUGUAUUAGCUAGUUGGUGAGGUAACGGCUCACCAAGGCAACGAUACAUAGCCGACCUGAGAGGGUGAUCGGCCACACUGGGACUGAGACACGGCCCAGACUCCUACGGGAGGCAGCAGUAGGGAAUCUUCCGCAAUGGACGAAAGUCUGACGGAGCAAUGCCGCGUGAGUGAAGAAGGUUUUCGGAUCGUAAAACUCUGUUGUAAGGGAAGAACAAGUACGUUAGUAACUGAACGUACCUUGACGGUACCUUACCAGAAAGCCACGGCUAACUACGUG